UUUCAUUUGAGAGUUUGAUCCCGGCUCAGAAUCAACGCUGGCGGCGCGCUUAACACAUGCAAGUCGAACGAGAAAGGGGAGCAAUCCCUGAGUAAAGUGGCG
rnacentral:rRNA from 1 species